UAUAAAUCGAUCUGAAUCCGAAGGAAUAAGACCAUGAUUAUCGGCGUCUCUUAUGGGGGUAUUUAGGUUUAUUUAUGAUUAAAAAUAAAAGAAAAAAUGAAUUACCUUAAGCGACGUCUCUUAAUCUAGCGACACAAGCGACGUCUCUUAAUCUCUCCGCGACGCAGAAGAAAUUCGUCGGCCUUUAUUCUCCCAGAAUCUCUUUGAUCGAAUCCUAUUGCAGUUUCUGGGUUGAUCCGCCAUGGAAACGCUAAGUGGAAACGAAGAAGAAACAGAACCAGAGAAGCAAAGAGAUUCCUAUUGCAGUUUCUGUCAUAGGGCUAGAGAGCUUCAGGGUAGGUCUUACCCCUACAGUCUUCUACAUUCCUGGUUUCAUCACUGACCAAGAGCAAACUCAGCUCCUCAAUCGUAUAUAUGGAGCAUCUGGUUUCAAGUGGAAGACGUUAAAGAACAGAAGAUUACAGAACUGGGGUGGUAUGGUCCAUGAAAAGGGUCUUGUUCCACAAGAGUUGCCUUCUUGGCUGACAAAGAUUACCACGAAAAUUCAUGAAAGCACGGGUCUUUUCCCUUCUGCUAUAAAUCAUGUCCUCAUCAAUGACUUAACUUCCUGACCAGGGGAUAAUGAACAAAACCGUGAACUAGAGGUUGAAACAACAAUUACAGGAAUCCUUGCGACAGAAUCUGACAUUACUAGGUGUGAACUUGGCAAAGAUGAACGCAUAUACUGGUAAAAUUUCAAUACUGCUUUUUCUUUUUAACUGCUGGGUUGUGUUUUCUUCUAGGGAUAAAUGUUUGAUAAUAUUUUUUUAAGAACCCUAAUUUAAGAGACUAGCAUUGGAACAGAAAAAUGUUGAUGUCUCUUGACUAAGUUCUUAACCAACAAUUAUUAUUAAAAAAAUCAUUAAGAGACUCUAAUGGGGUUGUAGGGUUAAUCAUGCUCUAAGGCAAAUACAUUGUAUAAUCUUCUUGGUUAAGUGUAUAUGCUACUAUUCAACCCGAUAAAAUAAUAGGUAGAGACAAAAGUGUAGGUGUUAUCAUUUACGUUAGGUAAUAGAAUGGUUUUGUUUGAACUGAAUUCUUAUUGGAUGUUGUGAUUGACUUCUGAUCUUGUAAAUAUAUAUCUGAAAAUAACAUUAAUAUUUUCCUAAACAUCUGAAUCACUUUUUAUUUUUUGAUUUUUUUCUUAUUCCUAUUAUAUUUAAUUAUCUGGUAAUAGAUUUCUCAAUAUUUUAAAUAUAUGGUGGUGAGAUUUUAAAAUAAAAUAUGGAAGUGUUAAAUUUUAAUAAUGUAAUUUAAUUUAAUUGUAUAGUAUAUUUUACUCAAAUGAUUUUAAAAUUGUGAAUUUUGGGUUUAAUUAAAUUAAAUAUUUUCUGAAAUAACAUAGAAACAUCCAUGUAAAAAAUUAAUUUUUGCAAGUUUUUUUUUAUGUUUACUCUCUAGCUUUUUACACGUAUCAGUUACACACAAAAACCGUCAAGAAGAAUCAUGGAUCUUUAAAUACAGCACUUUACAGCCUAGUUAUUAUCGAUGAGGAAGAUAUGAUUUUAUUGGUAAUGGAACUCCAGCCGGAGUCCCUGCCCUGGGUUCAAGUAGCCUUAGCCACCUUCCCGCCUAUAACCGUACGUGUCCGGAUGGAAGGUCUCGUGGGGAUUAGUCUGGGCUUACCGUUUGGGAUCCUCCACGUUUUAUUAAAGUUAUGAGACAAAAUUGUAAUCGAUUCAACCCAAAUGAAAAUUAGUUAGCCGAUUCUCAAUACUUUUCAAUUUCAAAUUUUAUACCACUGACUAUAGAUACUAUUGUUUUAGUGUUAUGAUUACUAAGUUAUCUAUAAGUAUAAUUUAUGUUUUAUUGCU